rnacentral:rRNA from 1 species
UAUGUGAUCGUCUCUCGCAUAUCAAUAAGCGGAGGAAAAGAAACUAACAAGGAUUCCCUUAGUAACGGCGAGUGAAGCGGGAAGAGCUCAAAUUUGAAAUCUUCAAGGUUUUACCUUGACGAAUUGUAGUUUAAAGAAGUGUUUUCUGUUGAAGUUUUGGUAAAAGUUCUUUGGAAUAGGACAUCAUAGAGGGUGAGAAUCCCGUAUUUGACCAUUAUUUUCAGCUGUGUGAUACACUUUCAAAGGGUCGGAUUGUUUGGGAAUGCAGUCCAAAAUGGGUGGUAAAUUUCAUCUAAAGCUAAAUAUUGGCGAGAGACCGAUAGCGAACAAGUACCGUGAGGGAAAGAUGAAAAGAACUUUGAAAAGAGAGUUAAACAGUACGUGAAAUUGUCAAAAGGGAAGCGUUUGACACCAGUGUUGUUUUCUCGAAAAUCAAUUAAAAAGAGUUUGAUUUUGUUGUGUAUUGACCUUAACAGCUUGCAUUUCAAUUUUCUUGCUUUUUUUAAUGCACUUUUCGUUUAACAAGUCAACAUCAGUUUCUUUUGUUGUAAAAAGGUCAUUGGAAGGUGGCUUUCUUUUCGGAGAAAGUGUUUAUAGCCUUUGACUCCUGCAAUCGGAGAGACUGAGGUCUGCAGCGUAGAUCCUUCGGGGUUAGAUACAUUUGUGCUAAGUUAUAGCUUUUUAUAGACAACUUGUUGACUAUGAUUAGUCUUGUAGCUUACUCGCUUAUGCUAUUUUACCUACGCUUAGGAUGUUGAAGAUAUGCGCGACACG